rnacentral:tRNA from 2 species
GUUAAAUUAGCUUAUGUUGUAAAGUGUGACUUUGAAGAUGUUAAGAAGAAUUGUGGUUCAUUUAACA